rnacentral:tRNA from 1 species
UGUCGUGUGGCGGAAUUGGCAGACGCAGUGGGCUUAAAACCCACGGACUUCGGUCGUACGAGUUCGAGUCUCGUCACGAUAA